AUUGAACGCUGGCGGCAGGCCUAACACAUGCAAGUCGAGCGGAGCGGCGGACGGGUGAGGAAUGCCUAGGAAUGUGCCUGGUAGUGGGGGAUAAGGUCCGGAAACGGGCGCUAAUACCGCAUACUCUCAGAUGAGCAUAGGUGGGAUUAGCUAGUGGGUGGGGUAACGGCCUACCAAGGCGACGAUCCGUAACUGGUCUGAGAGGAUGAUCAGUCACACUGGAACUGAGACACGGUCCAGACUCCUACGGGAGGCAGCAGUGGGGAAUAUUGGACAAUGGGCGAAAGCCUGAUGCAGCCAUGCCGCGUGUGUGAAGAAGGUCUUCGGAUUGUAAAGCACUUUCAGUUGGGAGGCGUUACCAGCAGAAGAAGCACCGGCUAACUUCGUGCCAGCAGCCGCGGUAAUUC
rnacentral:rRNA from 1 species